rnacentral:rRNA from 1 species
UACAGAGGGGUGCAAGCGUUAAUCGGAUUGACUGGGCGUAAAGGGCGCGUAGGUGGUAAGAUAAGUAAGAUGUGAAAUCCCUGGGCUUAACCUGGGAAUGGCAUUUUAAACUGUUUUGCUGGAGUACAAUAGAGGGUAGUGGAAUUUCCGGUGUAGCGGUGAAAUGCGUAGAUAUCGGAAGGAACACCAGUGGCGAAGGCGGCUACCUGGAUUGAUACUGACACUGAGGCGCGAAAGCGUGGGGGAGCAAACAGG